GACGAACGCUGGCGGCGUGCUUAACACAUGCAAGUCGAACGGAACGGCCCUGCUUUUGUGGGGUGCUCGAGUGGCGAACGGGUGAGUAACACGUGAGUAACCUGCCCUUGACUUUGGGAUAACUUCAGGAAACUGGGGCUAAUACCGGAUAGGAGCUCCUGCUGCAUGGUGGGGGUGGGAAAGUUUCGGCGGUUGGGGAUGGACUCGCGGCCUAUCAGCUUGUUGGUGGGGUAGUGGCUUACCAAGGCUUUGACAGGUAGCCGGCCUGAGAGGGUGACCGGCCACACUAGGCCGGGAAUGAGACACAGACUACUACGGUAGGCAAGGGAGCAGAAUAGUACACUAUGGGCUGAAGCCUAGCGCAGCAACGCCGCGUGCGGUGAGACGGGCUGCGGGUUGUGUUCUACUGCCGCCUUAGACGAGGCGUUAGUGACGGUAACGGGUGAAGAAGCACCGGCUAACUACGUG
rnacentral:rRNA from 1 species